rnacentral:rRNA from 1 species
GUGGGGAAUCUUGCGCAAUGGGCGGAAGCCUGACGCAGCAACGCCGCGUGCGGGACGAAGGCCCUAGGGUCGUAAACCGCUUUCAGGGGGGACGAAGCUUCCGGGGUUAAUAGCCUACGGGGUGACGGUACUCCCAGAAGAAGGUCCGGCUAACUACGUGCCAGCAGCCGCGGUAAUACGUAGGGACCGAGCGUUGUCCGGAAUCAUUGGGCGUAAAGAGCGUGUAGGCGGCCUGGUAGGUCUUGUGUGAAAUCCCGCGGCUCAACCGCGGAUCCGCACAGGAAACCCCCAGGCUCGAGUCCGGAAGAGGAGAGUGGAAUUCCUGGUGUAGCGGUGAAAUGCGCAGAUAUCAGGAAGAACACCCGUAGCGAAGGCGGCUCUCUGGGACGGUACUGACGCUGAGACGCGAAAGCGUGGGGAGCAAACAGGAUUAGAAACCCCAGUAGUCC